AAGUCGUAACAAGGUUUCCGUAGGUGAACCUGCGGAAGGAUCAUUAUCGAAUUACUGGGGGGUUGAUGCUGGCAGUCCUAUGGCUGCAUGUGCUCACUCUCUUUAAUCCACUUACACAUGUGCACUUAAAUUUCGAAGGCAGGGUAAAAUCUGCCUCUGAAGCUAAAUAAACUCUUAUUCGAUUUAAUGGAUGCUUUAUCUGCCGCAAGGCAAAAUUUAAUACAACUUUUAACAACGGAUCUCUUGGCUCUCGCAUCGAUGAAGAACGCAGCGAAAUGCGAUAAGUAAUGUGAAUUGCAGAAUUCAGUGAAUCAUCGAAUCUUUGAACGCACCUUGCACUCUCUGGUAUUCCGGAGAGUACGCCUGUUCGAGUGUCAUGUAACUCUCAAACAAAGGUAGCUUUGUUGCUAUCUUUGUUUGGAUAUAGACUCUGCUGCGUCAAUGCGGCUAGUCUUNNAUGUAUUAGCUGGUCCUUAAGGAGGAUUUGGUUCUACUCAGCGUGAUAAUUAUCUAACGNUGAGGACAGUUUCAGGACUGGCCAGAGCCAUCUUUGGAUUGCUUCUAAUUAAUUGAUUGUCCUUGGACAAUAAUUAUUCAACGUUUGACCUCGAAUCAGGUGGGAUUACCCGCUGAACUUAAGCAUAUCAAUAAGCGGAGGAAAAGAAACUAACAAGGAUUCCCCUAGUAACGGCGAGUGAAGCGGGAUGAGCUCAAAUUUAAAAUCUGGCAGUCUUCUGGCUGUCCGAGUUGUAAUCUAGAGAAGCGUUUUCUGUGCUGGACUGUGUACAAGUUUCCUGGAUAUGGAACAUCAUAGAGGGUGAGAAUCCCGUCCUUGACACAGACUCCCAGUGCUUUGUGAUGCGCUCUCAACGAGUCGAGUUGUUUGGGAUUGCAGCUCAAAAUGGGAGGUAAAUUCCUUCUAAAGCUAAAUAUUGGCGAGAGACCGAUAGCGAACAAGUACCGUGAGGGAAAGAUGAAAAGCACUUUGGAAAGAGAGUUAAACAGUACGUGAAAUUGUUAAAAGGGAAACGAUUGAAGUCAGUCGCGUCUACUUGGACUCAGCCUUGCCUCGGCUUGGUGCAAUUCCUCGUGGACGGGCCAGCGUUCAUGUUGGUUAUUGGAAAAGGUACUAGGGAAUGUGGCUCUUUUGGGAGUGUUAUAGCCCUGGUUCGUAUACAGUGACUGAUAUGGAGUGAUACAGCAUGCUUCGGCGGUGCUUGUGCUGGCAUAAUGGCUUUAAGCGACC
rnacentral:rRNA from 1 species